UUGAACGCUGGCGGCAUGCUUUACACAUGCAAGUCGAACGGUAACAGGUUAAGCUGACGAGUGGCGAACGGGUGAGUAAUGCAUCGGAACGUGCCCGAUCGUGGGGGAUAGCGCAGCGAAAGCUGCGCUAAUACCGCAUACGAUCUGAGGAUGAAAGCGGGGGACCGUAAGGCCUCGCGCGAUCGGAGCGGCCGAUGUCAGAUUAGGUAGUUGGUGGGGUAAAGGCUCACCAAGCCGACGAUCUGUAGCUGGUCUGAGAGGACGACCAGCCACACUGGGACUGAGACACGGCCCAGACUCCUACGGGAGGCAGCAGUGGGGAAUUUUGGACAAUGGGCGCAAGCCUGAUCCAGCAAUGCCGCGUGAGUGAAGAAGGCCUUCGGGUUGUAAAGCUCUUUCAGCAGGAACGAAACGGUCGGCUUUAAUAAAGUCGGCUAAUGACGGUACCUGCAGAAGAAGCACCGGCUAACUACGU
rnacentral:rRNA from 1 species